rnacentral:lncRNA from 1 species
GCACCGGACGACAAUUCAGGUAUCUCAUGAAAACAUGUCUCUCCUGAGCUGAGACAGAGAAUACCAUAUUAGUAAACUACUGCGUGAUGAUGACCUUUACUUAAAAGUAUCGGUUUAAAUCGUUCUUCUUCAUUUAUUAAAUGAAAAAUGAAUUUUGUGAAGUAUAUACUAGUAUACUUUUAUUAAUGAAGAUCAAAAUGUGAAACAUGCAAAC